AGAGUUUGGAACUGGCUCAGGACGAACGCUGGCGGCGUGCUUAACACAUGCAAGUCGAGCGAUGAAGCUUCCUUCGGGAAGUGGAUUAGCGGCGGACGGGUGAGUAACACGUGGGUAACCUGCCUCAAAGUGGGGGAUAGCCUUCCGAAAGGAAGAUUAAUACCGCAUAACAUAAGAGAAUCGCAUGAUUUUCUUAUCAAAGAUUUAUUGCUUUGAGAUGGACCCGCGGCGCAUUAGCUAGUUGGUAAGGUAACGGCUUACCAAGGCAACGAUGCGUAGCCGACCUGAGAGGGUGAUCGGCCACAUUGGAACUGAGACACGGUCCAGACUCCUACGGGAGGCAGCAGUGGGGAAUAUUGCGCAAUGGGGGAAACCCUGACGCAGCAACGCCGCGUGGGUGAUGAAGGUCUUCGGAUUGUAAAGCCCUGUUUUCUGGGACGAUAAUGACGGUACCAGAGGAGGAAGCCACGGCUAACUACGUGCCAGCAGCCGCGGUAAUACGUAGGUGGCGAGCGUUGUCCGGAUUUACUGGGCGUAAAGGGUGCGUAGGCGGAUGUUUAAGUGGGAUGUGAAAUCCCCGGGCUUAACCUGGGGGCUGCAUUCCAAACUGGAUAUCUAGAGUGCAGGAGAGGAAAGCGGAAUUCCUAGUGUAGCGGUGAAAUGCGUAGAGAUUAGGAAGAACACCAGUGGCGAAGGCGGCUUUCUGGACUGUAACUGACGCUGAGGCACGAAAGCGUGGGUAGCAAACAGGAUUAGAUACCCUGGUAGUCCACGCCGUAAACGAUGGAUACUAGGUGUAGGGGGUAUCAACUCCCCCUGUGCCGCAGUUAACACAAUAAGUAUCCCGCGUGGG
rnacentral:rRNA from 1 species